rnacentral:rRNA from 1 species
GGAUGCGAUCAUAAUAGCACUAAAGAACCGGAUCCCAUCAGAACUCCGAAGUUAAGCAUGUUUGGGCGAGAGUAGUACUAGGAUGGGUGACCUCCUGGGAAGUCCUCAUGUUGCAUUCC